GUUAAAGAAUAAAAAGCAUCUAGCGGAGAAAAGAGGUUAUACAAGCUAUAGAGCAGUGCCUCGCUUUGCAGCUCUUUUCAAAUGUAUUCUGAUAAACUCUAACAAUGUGUUUUGGAGGGAAUUUAAAAAUGAUACUCUUAAACCCCUCCAUAUCCUAGAAAACCUCCACUGUAACUUGGGUUCUAUUCCUAUCCUUGACUGAGCAGGUAGUCUCUUCUUAAAGCUGGAGUGAGG